GACGAACGCUGGCGGCGCGCUUAACACAUGCAAGUCGAACGAGAACCAGCCCUUCGGGGCUGGGGAAAGUGGCGAACGGGUGAGUAACACGUGGGUAAUCUGCCCUCGGCACCGGAAUAGCCCGGGGAAACCCGGAUUAAUGCCGGAUAGCCUCUCCGGUCCUUGGACUGGUGAGAAAAGGUAGCUUCGGCCUCUGGCCGAGGAGGAGCCCGCGGCGGAUUAGCUUGUUGGUGAGGUAACGGCUCACCAAGGCGACGAUCCGUAGCUGGUCUGAGAGGACGAUCAGCCACACUGGGACUGAGGCACGGCCCAGACUCCUACGGGAGGCAGCAGUGGGGAAUCUUGCGCAAUGGGCGAAAGCCUGACGCAGCGACGCCGCGUGCGGGAAGAAGGCCUUCGGGUUGUAAACCACUGUUGCCCGGGACGAACCUGGCCUUUCGAGGCCACUGACGGUACCGGGUGAGGAAGCACCGGCUAACUCUGUGCCAGCAGCCGCGGUAAGAC
rnacentral:rRNA from 1 species